AAAAGCCGUGUGCAAUGAAAAAUGCAAGCACGGCUUGGGGAGAGGUGUUUACUUGUUUAAUUUAACAAGAAAAUUAUCGACUCCAU
rnacentral:ncRNA from 1 species